rnacentral:rRNA from 1 species
UACAUAGGGACCAAGCGUUGUUCGGAUUUACUGGGCGUAAAGGGCGCGUAGGCGGCAUGACAAGUCACUUGUGAAAUCUCCGGGCUUAACUCGGAACGGUCAAGUGAUACUGUCGCGCUAGAGUGCGGAAGGGGCAAUCAGAAUUCUUGGUGUAGCGGUGAAAUGCGUAGAUAUCAAGAGGAACACCUGAGGUGAAGACGGGUUGCUGGGCUGACACUGACGCUGAGAAGCGAAAGCAUGGGGAGCGAACAGG